AAUGCAGAGGAAUUACUUGGAAACAGGUACGCCAGCAAUGGUCUCUGUGUAGGUGCUGCAUGGUUGUCGUCAGCUCGUGCCGUGAGGUGUCGGCUUAAGUGCCAUAACGAGCGCAACCCUUAUCAUUAGUUACUAACAGGUUAAGCUGAGGACUCUAAUGAGACUGCCACCGUAAGGUGUGAGGAAGGUGGGGAUGACGUCAAAUCAGCACGGCCCUUACGUCCGGGGCGACACACGUGUUACAAUGGACGGUACAGAGGGUUGCUACCUAGUGAUAGGAUGCUAAUCUCUAAAGCCGUUCUCAGUUCGGAUCGAAGUCUGCAACUCGACUUCGUGAAGCUGGAUUCGCUAGUAAUCGCGCAUCAGCCAUGGCGCGGUGAAUACGUUCCCGGGCCUUGUACACACCGCCCGUCAAGCCAUGGAAGCUGGGGGUACCUAAAGUACGUUACCGCAAGGAGCGUCCUAGGGUAAAACUAGUAACUAGGGCU
rnacentral:rRNA from 1 species